rnacentral:rRNA from 1 species
CCUACGGUGGGCAGCAGUGAGGAAUAUUGGUCAAUGGCCGAGAGGCUGAACCAGCCAAGUCGCGUGAGGGAAGACGGCCCUACGGGUUGUAAACCUCUUUUGUCGGGGAGCAAAGCGAGUCACGUGUGACUCAUUGAGAGUACCCGAAGAAAAAGCAACGGCUAACUCCGUGCCAGCAGCGGCGGUAAUUCGGGGGAUGCGAUCGUUAUCCGGAUUUAAUGGGUUUAAAGGGUGCGCGGGCGGAGGGGCAAGUCAGGGGGAAAAUUGCGGGGCUCAACCCGGAAUUGCCGUUGAAACUGCAUCCCUUGAGUGCGCGAGAAGUAUGCGGAAUGCGUGGUGUAGCGGUGAAAUGCAUAGAUAUCACGCAGAACUCCGAUUGCGAAGGCAGCAUACCGGCGCGCAACUGACGCUCAUGCACGAAAGCGUGGGUAUCGAACAGGAUUAGAUACCCGGGUAGUC